AAAUUAAUAUCUUCAACUUGAAAUUAAUAUCGUAGUAUCGUGAGGAAAAAACCUGGUUAGAAACUAAGCAAAACAAGGUCGUCUGUCCUUCGGUUAUUAGUUUAUAUAGAAAAGCCUGUGUGACCAAAGUCAUCUAGUUCUUGCGAAGCGUUAACAGGAUGGAAUUAGAGAAAGGGAAGAAUAGCGCUAAUGGUGGGGGACGAAUCGAAUCCAAGGAGCGGUUAAUCGAGAAGUGAGAGUGGAUCGAGAGGUCAGAGUUAGUCGAGGAGUCGAAGAGUAGAGUUGUUAGAGUUAGCGUUGUCGAGUUGCGAGAGAAGUUAGCGUUGUUGAGAGUAGAGUUGUUAGUAUUGCGGAGUCGCAUGAGUUACUAGCGUAGCUGAGAGGUUGAGUUGUUGACGUUGUCCAGUUGCGUGACAAACGGAAAUGGAAAAGUUAUCAAUAUGCAAUGGAAGCUACCCAGACUAAAAAGGAAAAGGGGAACAAAAGUAGAUUUGGAAAAUUCACGUACGAAAAUAAGACUAAUUAACCAAUGAAAAGCAAUAUCAAGUGGUUAGAAGAUCCGUAAACGUCAAACAGACGUAUAACAUUACGAAACCUCAGUGACGAGAAUUUACAAAAUCAUUCUACUUUUAUAUCAAAAACUAUACAUUAAAUGUAAUGUAAAUUGAAUAAAACAAGGAAACAUUAAAACUACAUAUAAGAAUCAAAAAACAUAUAAUGAAACAAUUGGAAGAACAAAUGAAACAACAAGAGCUCGAUUCAGACCCAUAUAGGAUAGUAAGAAAUAUUCUAAAAAAUAAAAAUGUAAAUUAUUAUACCUACUAAACAAAGAUGGUAAAAGUGAUAAUGAAAGAAUUACACACGAAAUUUUUACUUGUUUUUUAUUUGAUAGACUUUUUACAAUCAAUUCUCAUUGAGAAUUAUAAGUAAAUUAAACACCGAAAACUUGACAUAGAAUAUAUCGAAACAGAUCUAUUGGAAAGGAGACACAAGCUACACAACAUAAUUUACUUAAGCAAAAGUGUCUCAUUAACACCAUUGUCAAUGUUUCUCUCUGAACUUGAAUAAGACAAAAACAACAAGGAAAUUUAUGAUACCAGUGAGGUAUGUGAUACGUUCAUAAAAGUAGAAACGCCAACAGCUAAUGAUAAUAUUCCACAGUGUGGAUCACUUUUUUCAACCAUUGUGUAAGAACGGAUGAUUUUAAGCCGGACGUAAAUGUUGAACGAGACGAAGACGAGAGACACCACCAGCAGCGUCAGGCUUUUAACCUUUCUUAUUUUUUCCUACUCAGGAAUUUUGCAAAAACUCUUCCAACCAUUCCAUAACCAGCUAUCGAUACGACGAGUAACCUUUUUUUUGCAGAAAUUCUCUGCAUGCCACGAAUAGGAUAGAAACAAGAGGAAUCCUGUACUAUUGAGUUAGGAAUUAAGUGAUUGUGGGUUUUGUCAUUAGGUGAUAAUGACAAGAUCCGCAAUCAUUUAGUUGCCAACCUAAUACAUUAUAGUUUAAAUGUAUAUGUUGAUGGAAUCCAACAUCCAAAAUAGUAGAGAAGACAAUUGACAGAAUAUGAAUGGAUGAAAUAAUAGCUAAAUACCAUUCUUUUUUUGUACGUGGAGAAAUCCUCAUGGUCGCUUUACUGCUGCAGCAACAGCAGAGCAGUGUCGGACUCUUACCGACUAAAACUCCACGGGCAGGAUGGUAGGAAUUUGUGCGAGUGAUGGUCAGCCCUGAGGGGUGCUUACCAAGCAACUUUACCAAGCGCUCGCAGAAAGUACAAACACAACACGCAAGGGAGCACUCUGGGAUUGCCUCUGUUGUACAUUGGCUUGUGAGAGAGAUUUGGAGUUCUCCAUCCUUUCGAAAAAUAUUCAUGUCGAGGUUACAAACUCACUAUGCGUUGUCUUCAGCCCCGAGACUUAAGAAGCGCGGCUGGCUAGCCCGCCAAUAGCUAAACACCUGAUCCUAGGCCAACAAUUUAGAUUUAGAAAGAAUCAGAAUACAGUAAAGUAAAUACACAGAAUGACAAGCGACGUAAUUAAAUCAACGGAAGGAGGAAAAUAAUACACCGCGUUGUUUCUCGAUGUGGAAAAGGCCUUCGCUACAGUCUGAAUGAUUUUAUGUAUUAUGUGAUAAAAUGAAGGAUUUUAAGAAAGUUAUAAACAAUUCUGCUGAAUGGCACAUAUGGAAUUAUUUUCUCCUACAUUACGAAUAGGUAUUUUUAUGUUAAAAUUAGAAAUGUAGGUGUCCUCUCUGAAAGAAAUGUACGGUUCCACAAGAAAGUGUCCUCGAACCCAUUUUCUAUUUCGUUUAUAGCUAACAAUGCUGGAAACGGAAACUUAUUCCUUCGCUAGGUUUACGUCUGAAAAUAAGAUAGAAAAAUUUGCCGAAUGUCGAGCUGGACAAAUUGUAAGGUACAAAUUAAGCAUGCGACAUAGAAACAAGCACGGAAACAUUAAAAUAGCAACAAGAAACCUAAAAAGCACCUAUACAAUGUAGCACGCUUAACGAGAGAUAGCAAAAUCCAAUUAAACUCAAACAAGUGUUUGCACAUUGCCUUCCCUUUAAAAAAAAAAGAAUCUCAUAAGAUUAAAUUGUUAAAUCAGGAAAUCUAACGAACAACUUUGGCUAAAUAUGUUGUACUGCAUUUGGAUCGUAAGUUGGAGUGGAAAACAUUAAACACCUAAUGAUAAUGAGAAAAUCGUUGCAGUAUCUUACAGCAAGAAAAUCUAAAUUGACCAUGAGCAACAAAUUACCAGUUUAUAAAACCAUAGCAAUAACUGUAGCAGCUAACUACAGAAACAAAGAAGAAAUCAUAAUGUCAGGGGCUAGCAUGGUUUAUGAUAUAGAAACAACAAAAUUGUUUCUGAGAAAGCCGCUAAACAACUUUCCUCCGUGCGUGAUUUCGUUACAGUAUUUCAUGACGGUCUGAAUAGCAAAUGUCCUAUUAAAUAGCACGCACAUAACACAAACAAGGCGAGUUAAAUACCUAGAAUUCCACUUGGACAAGUAAUUUACAUGGAGGCUACAUACUAAAUUAAUUCUAGACAAAAUAUGGAUAAAAAGAAGACAGAUGUACUGGCUAACUAAUCGAAAUUCUAAACUCAGCAUGGAAAAUAAAUUAAAAAUCUACAAAACGGUAAUAAAACCAAUUUGGACGUAUGAAAUAACACUAUGGGGGACAGCAGCAAUGAGACACAUAAAUGAACUAAAGUCGCUACAUCGAAGAUACCGGGAACAAUAGUCAACGCCCUCUGGUAUGUCAGAAACGAGGAUAUACGCAAAGACCUAAAAAUACCAACGGUCGAAGAAGAACUCGGCAGAUACGCAAAAUAUACAAGGAAAGAACGGAAACACAUCCAAACCAACUGGCUGAUAAAGCCAGCAAAACUCGCAUAGGAAGAACAUUAAAAAGAAAACACCCCAGUGACCUCACUAAAGAAAUAAAAUAGUCAAACUCGAAAAUGGUACUGCGCUGGUAGUAGCCAUCCACAUGUUAUUUAGCUAAAAAUUGUAAAGUACAAAUUAAAUAAUAAACGAAGAAUUCAAAGUUCUAGAUGGUUGGAAAAGUCGACCGGCGCCACUCAUCCAAUUUAACGUCGGAUUUCUUCAACCGAAGCGUCGGUCGACAACGAAGGUCGUACACAGGUUCGUUUGAAGCGCUCUUAAACCCGAAUCAAAUGGACGAUAUUUAUAUCGUCUGUCUGCCAAUCGCACAGUGGUACCAGUUGCGAUGUACACACCCGUCGCUUGUAUCAAUACGCACAGAACUUGUAAUAAACAAGCGAAAAUUCUGCUAACGGAUAUGUAAGCCUAUGUUGGCUAAUAAAAACACUUUUAUUCGUAUAUCUUAAAGCUCGGUGCAGAUGAGCGAUAUUUUAUUGCAGGGCAUCGCUCCGGUGCCGUUGGAAAAGGAGAGAAAUAAAUAAAGUUCUCCUGUUUCACAAAAGAAGGAUACAUACAUAUGUAUUUUCUUGUUCUUCCAACCCAUUGCCGUUGCAGUCAUUUGUUGCAAAUUAGAUAGUUUGCAUCGGACCCAAAUCUUGAGGUUAAAAUCUUCUGUUACAAAUUAUUAAUUAGAUCUAUUUAUAACAUAUGCUAAUCCCAUAUGUUAUAAAAUCUCUGCCGGUGCAGUGGAAAACCCAAGGGUAAGCAUUUUGAAAAUAAGUGCAUUAGAAGAGGAAUUAGAACGGCCUUCUCUUACUACAAGAAAUAUAAUAGCAGCAAAAAUAUAUCAUUAAGAGCUUCAUAAUAGAUUUAAUAAUAAUGAUUUAAUUAAGGGAAUUAUUUACCCCUUUAGCCCUUAUAUUUUGAGAGGGCUACGAACAAUGUACAUCUCCUUCAAGAGGCUAAUUAGAAUACUUCCUAUGAUAUACAUUGCCACAUCAUGAAUGAAAUACUUUUCAAUCAGCUGAAACCUCGGCGGGACAGCCAGCUAAGUUUGGAGAAACCCAGAACUGCAGAGGAGGCGCCGUGAGUUCGAAUCCUGAGUCAUUAAGAUAUUGUGUACAAAGGACCGGAGAGGUCCCAGUCUGUUUUAAUAGGUUAGUAAUACACUACACGCAAGCGGCCGCCCCUCCCUUGCGUGUAUUGUGUGGGCGUACUUUCUGGAAGUGCGCUGUAUAAGGUCCGAAGUGUUGUAAACACACACAGGGGUGGGUCUCCGACAAUUAGGAAAUCCACAUUACUGUUCUGUCUCGCCCGUGGAGGUUUUAGCCGGUAAGAAUCCGGCACUACCUUCUGCCGCCCACACAAGGUGGUAAGGUGUCUAUGAAGAUUUCCUCCACGAAAAAAAAAAAAAAAAAUUUUUUUUGUAGCAUGAAAGGAGAGACGUUUAGCUAUUUUAUGAUGAAAUAAAAUAAAUCUCUGAAAUCCCUGUAAAAAUAGAAAAUAUAGAGAAUAUUAUUAUUUUCGAGCAUUCGGAAAAUGUUCUGAGAAUGAUAAUAUAGAUCAUAUUCAGAAUGUUCCACACACAGGGGAUGUGUGCACCUUCUCGGUAUAUGGAAAUAUUCAGAACGUUCAACUGAGAUGUUCUCGGACGUACACAAGAUGUCUUUAUGCUGUUUGGGGAAUUGACAGAUUGUGCAAAAACUAACAAAGGAAUCGAUUCGAAAUUUGGCAUGCUAUUUUGUUAUGACUGGCACUUACUUGUGACAAAGUCAAUCUCAGAAUAAAUUUUAUUCUUAAUUUUAAA